AUUGAACGCUAGCGGGAUGCCUUACACAUGCAAGUCGAACGGAGUGGCGAACGGGUGAGUAAUGUAUCGGAACGUGCCCAGUAGCGGGGGAUAACUACGCGAAAGCGUAGCUAAUACCGCAUACUAUUGGAGCGGCCGAUAUCGGAUUAGUUAGUUGGGGGGGUAACGGCCCACCAAGGCGACGAUCCGUACCUGGUUUGAGAGGACGACCAGCCACACGUGGACGGAUGCACGGCCCAGACACCAACGGGAGGCAGCAGUUGGGAAUUUGGAACAAGGGUGGAAACCCUGACCCAGCCAUCCCGCGUGUGCGAUGAAGGCCUUCGGGUUUGAAAGCACUUUUGGCAGGAAAGCGGUACCUGCAGAAUAAGCACCGGCUAACUACGUGCCAGCCGCCGCGGUAAUAC
rnacentral:rRNA from 1 species